rnacentral:lncRNA from 1 species
UCAUCAUGUGCUCUGCACUAUUAGCAAAACGACAUCAAGUGAGAUAUCAUUAUGUGCUCUGCAUUAUCAGCAAAACGACAUCAAGUGGUGGGAAUUUGCCAAUAAACAAACAAAUAUUCUAUGUUUACAACUUGUCCGUGCUGACAUCUCUAUUAAGGAUUUGGUUAUGUUGGAGUUGUUCUAAGAUAAAAUAUUUUGUAUAAUCAUAUAAUUAAAAUUAUAAUAAAUUUAUUAUUAUUUAUCACUUUAUAUGUGUAGAAAAUUUAUGCUACAUCGUAGAUCUGCUCCAACAUAACCAUAGCCCUCUCUCAAUUAUGAAGUAAUAGUUGAAACAAACAGUAUCAUUUAACUUUCGCCAUUUUGGCAAGCUGCAUUGCAGAGGAUAAUUGGUAGGCCCGUAUUGAUUGAAAUCUGUCUAAUAUUUGACAAUACAAAUAGCGCGCAUUACAUCUGAAAACUUAGUGCUGCAUAUGCCGCAUUAUGGAACCCAUCACGCCCCUCAGAGUUAUGCCAUAUGGUAUUAAUUUUUAAACAUAAAACUUAUUUAAUUUAGGAAAAAUAAUAUUUACACACUCAAAAUUCAGAAAAACAGUCAUAUAGAUCUUCAUAUUUUCAAUAAAGAAUAUCAAGAUCCUUUUUUUUCUUAU